rnacentral:tRNA from 1 species
AGGGGCGUAGUCCCGCCUAUGGCGGGACGCCUGGUUUGGGACCAGGAGGUCCCGGGUUCAAAUCCCGGCGCCCCGA